AAUGAACUUAUAAGUAAAUUUUAAAUUUUUAGCAAAUUUUAAAUUUAUCUUCAAACUGCUUAUGAUGUAUUUCGUUCAAAUACUUGGCUAUAAUAUUUAAGUGAUGUAUCUUCAUAAAUUUGAAAUUCAUGUUCAAUACUUUAUAUAUGCUUUUGCUCAAGUGUUUUGUCAUCAUCAAAAAGGGGGAGAUUGUUGCUCUUUUAAUUGAUUUUGAUGAUUACAAAGCAUUUGAAGGGAUUACUAAUAAUUUUGGCUUGAAAAAAAAUUUAUUGUAUUUCAAGAGCAAAAUCAAAAUUUUAUCAGACCUGAUUCGGAAGCCUCAAGAGCAAGAACAAAAGAUAUGUAAUCUAUUGGAGGUAAUUUUAAUAUUUUUGAAAGUAUAUUUUAUAAAAAAAUUAGAUUUAUAUUUUUGAGUUGACCCCAUGAGUCGACUCAUGGCUAAAAGGGCUGAAUGAC
rnacentral:lncRNA from 1 species